UGUUGAUGAUGAGGACAAUUUUUGAGCAUACAUUUAAAUCUCUCCAAAGCUUGGUAUAGAUUUUCUCCAUCUUUUUGUUUGAAACUCAAGAUCACACUCCUUAAAUG
rfam:Capsicum annuum cultivar Zunla-1 chromosome 2, whole genome shotgun sequence